rnacentral:rRNA from 1 species
CCCUGGCUCAGAACGAACGCUGGCGGCAGGCUUAACACAUGCAAGUCGAGCGCCUCGCAAGAGGAGCGGCAGACGGGUGAGUAACGCGUGGGAAUCUACCCAUCUCUACGGAAUAACUCAGGGAAACUUGUGCUAAUACCGUAUACGCCCUUAGGGGGAAAGAUUUAUCGGAGAUGGAUGAGCCCGCGUUGGAUUAGCUAGUUGGUGGGGUAAAGGCCUACCAAGGCGACGAUCCAUAGCUGGUCUGAGAGGAUGAUCAGCCACAUUGGGACUGAGACACGGCCCAAACUCCUACGGGAGGCAGCAGUGGGGAAUAUUGGACAAUGGGCGCAAGCCUGAUCCAGCCAUGCCGCGUGAGUGAUGAAGGCCUUAGGGUUGUAAAGCUCUUUCACCGGAGAAGAUAAUGACGGUAUCCGGAGAAGAAGCCCCGGC